CUCAGUAGCAUCCAUGACGGGUCUCUUCUUCUUCACCGUUGAUCCAGCUGCUGGGACAAGCUAAUUCCAUCCAGACCGUCGAAUUAAUGUGAAUCGAACAUUGUAACUGAAAAGCUUUUCAGAGGAGCUGGAAAGGACAGCUGCACUGCUAGCAUUUUAAGAUGCAUCAAAUUGCCCUGCUGGGGAGCUUCUGGACAUUUCACAAUGCCUGAAAAUAGCAAGUGAGAUGAAUGCAGCCACCCUUACAUGCCAGAGUCAUGAAAAAAGGUUUGUCACGUGGUGGGGCUAAAAUUCCAAACCAGCACGUGUGGAGGUAUGUUUGUAUUCUGUUUGGUAGCUAGCUAGUUAUUUGAUACUCUGGCUGAAUAUGAUACCUGAUAUGCAGGCACUUGGAAAUUGUACAUGUGCUUUAUAUUAACUCAAAUCAAACCAACUAAAUUGUGGAAUAUAUUGCUGUUAACUUACUAUCCAGGCCUCAGAUUCAUCGAAAAAUCUUAACCGUUGAUUCGUGGACACUUGCUUGUUUGUCGAAAUAU